rnacentral:rRNA from 1 species
UGCUAGUCGAACGACCCGGACUAUGGCGGGAAGUGGCAGACUGCUCAGUAACACGUAGCUAACCUACCCUUGGGACGGGUACAACCCCGGGAAACUGAGGUUAAUACCCGAUAGGUGUGAGUUCCUGGAAUGGUUUCACGCCCAAAUGUAAGCGCAUCCACGUUUGUGUGAGCGCCCAAGGAUGGGGCUGCGGCCGAUCAGGCAGUUGGUGAGGUAACGGCUCACCAAACCUUUGACCGGUACGGGCCAUGAGAGUGGUAGCCCGGAGAUGGGCACUGAGACAAGGGCCCAGGCCCUACGGGGCGCAGCAGGCGCGAAACCUCCACAAUUCACGAAAGUGAGAUGGGGUUACCUCGAGUGCCGCCUGAUGAAGGCGGCUUUUCCAUUGUGUAAUGAGCCGCGGGAAUAAGAGGGGGGCAAGACUGGUGUCAGCCGCCGCGGUAACACCAGCCCCUCGAGUGGUGGGGAUGAUUAUUUGGCCUAAAGCGUCCGUAGCCGGCCCUGUAAAUCUUUCGUUAAAUCCAGCGUCCUAAGCGUUGGGCUGCGAGAGGAACUGCAGAGCUAGAGGGUGGGAGAGGUCAGCGGUAUUCCUGGGGUAGGGGCGAAAUCCAUUGAUCCCAGGAGGACCACCAGUGGCGAAGGCUGCUGACUUGAACACGCCUGACGGUGAGGGACGAAAGCUGGGGUAGCGAAUCGGAUUAGAUACCCGAGUAGUCCCAGCCGUAAACGAUGCA